UUUUAUGGUGGCUGUACGCGGGAUACCUUCGGGUAUGCCGAAUGCUCAGGUCGGUCCGCGAACCCGCGUACAGCUGCCACCCUC
rnacentral:antisense_RNA from 1 species